rnacentral:rRNA from 1 species
AUUGAACGCUGGCGGCAGGCUUAACACAUGCAAGUCGAGCGGAGAGAGGUAGCUUGCUACUGAUCUUAGCGGCGGACGGGUGAGUAAUGCUUAGGAAUCUGCCUAUUAGUGGGGGACAACAUUUCGAAAGGAAUGCUAAUACCGCAUACGUCCUACGGGAGAAAGCAGGGGAUCUUCGGACCUUGCGCUAAUAGAUGAGCCUAAGUCGGAUUAGCUAGGUGGUGGGGUAAAGGCCUACCAAGGGGACGAUCUGUAGCGGGUCUGAGAGGAUGGCUCGGCACAGUGGGACUGAGACACGGACCAGACUCCUACGGGGAGAAGAAGGGGGGAAUAUUGGACAAUGGGCGCAAGUCUGAUCCAGCCAAUGCGCGUGUGUGAAGAAGGCCUUAUGGUUGUAAAGCACGUUAAGCGAGGAGGAGGCUACUUUAGAUAAUACCUAGAGAUAGUGGACGUUACUCGCAGAAUAAGCACCGGGUAACUCUGUGCCAGCCGCCGCCGUAA